GUGCCAGCCGCCGCGGUAAUUCCAGCUCCAAUAGCGUAUAUUAAAGUUGUUGUGGUUAAAAAGCUCGUAGUUGAACCUUGGGCCUGGCUGGCCGGUCCGCCUCACCGCGUGCACUGGUCCGGCCGGGCCUUUCCCUCUGUGGAACCCCAUACCCUUCACUGGGCGUGGCGGGGAAACAGGACAUUUACUUUGAAAAAAUUAGAGUGCUCCAGGCAGGCCUAUGCUCGAAUACAUUAGCAUGGAAUAAUAAAAUAGGACGCGCGGUUCUAUUUUGUUGGUUUAUAGGACCGCCGUAAUGAUUAAUAGGGACAGUCGGGGGCAUCAGUAUUCAACUGUCAGAGGUGAAAUUCUUGGAUCAGUUGAAGACUAACUACUGCGAAAGCAUUUGCCAAGGAUGUUUUCAUUAAUCAGGAACGAAAGUUAGGGGAUCGAAGACGAUCAGAUACCGUCGUAGUCUUAACCAUAAACUAUGCCGACUAGGGAUCGGACGGUGUUAUUCAUGACCCGUUCGGCACCUUACGAGAAAUCAAAGUGCUUGGGCUCCAGGGGGAGUAUGGUCGCAAGGCUGAAACUUAAAGAAAUUGACGGAAGGGCACCACCAGGGGUGGAGCCUGCGGCUUAAUUUGACUCAACACGGGGAAACUCACCAGGUCCAGACACAAUAAGGAUUGACAGAUUGAGAGUUCUUUCUUGAUUUUGUGGGUGGUGCUGCAUGGCCGUUCUUAGUUGGUGGGGUGACUUGUCUGCUUAAUGCGAUAACGAACGAGACCUUAACCUGCUAAAUAGCUCGCAUUGCUCCGGCAGUGCGCUGGCCUUCAU
rnacentral:rRNA from 1 species